CUUGCUUAAGAUUAAUAGCAUCUCAUACAUAAUUCAGCUGUAGGAGCUAGCUCUGUGGCAAUCCCUGGACCACCUGGACCCCCUGGACCAUCUGGACCCGCUGGUCCUCCAGGACUGUCAGGUCCUGUUGGUCCUGCUGGCCAUCCUGGCCAACCUGGUCCUAAAGGUGAUAAAGGGGAACAAGGAGAAGCUGGAAUCAUAAUGGAAACCCGAGAGUCUAGAACUGCCAGUAAAAAUUUUAAUUCCCUUAAAUGA
ensembl:lncRNA